GACGAACGCUGGCGGCGUGCCUAACACAUGCAAGUCGAGCGGAGAAACAAAAGAGCAGCUUGCUGCGAUUUGUUUCUUAGCGGCGGACGGGUGAGUAACGCGUGGGUAAUCUGCCUCAAACAGGGGGAUAACACAGGGAAACUUGUGCUAAUACCGCAUAAGACCCCACCAUGGCAUCAUGGAGAGGUCAAAGGAAGAAAUUCCGGUUUGAGAUGAGCCCGCGUCUGAUUAGCUAGUUGGUGAGGUAACGGCUCACCAAGGCGACGAUCAGUAGCCGAACUGAGAGGUUGAUCGGCCACAUUGGGACUGAGACACGGCCCAGACUCCUACGGGAGGCAGCAGUGGGGAAUAUUGCACAAUGGGGGAAACCCUGAUGCAGCGACGCCGCGUGAAGGAAGAAGGCCCUCGGGUUGUAAACUUCUUUGACCAGGGACGAAGAAAGUGACGGUACCUGGAGAACAAGCCACGGCUAACUACGUGCCAGCAGCCGCGGUAAAAU
rnacentral:rRNA from 1 species